UUUGUGUCUAACUCGUUUUUUUUGAAUCUGGCUCAGGAGUGAGACCAUAUGUAAGCCAGAAAUAUAUUAAAAAAAAAUCUUUUGAGUAAUAUAGUCUGUACUAUACGAUAUGUCAAAAUGUAACACCAAAAGGCAAUUACUAUUAUUUUAAUUAAUUGCUAUAUGAUUGGAGGGAUCGUUGAAUAUAGAUUUUAGAUCUGGCUGCGCCGGACCAAUUUGUACUUUACUACACAUUAAUAGGUUAUAAAAUUGGUCGGUAUUUGAGUAGCAAAAAUAGGAACAAUGAAUGCAUAAAUAAUAAACACGGCGUUUCUCUAAUUUUAUUUUGCUCUAGCCUGGUUAUUUUUAUAUUUCAUAAACAGAAAAUAAACAAAUAUAACAUAAUAUUUUAACAAAUUGUAUCUCUGACGUCACAUAAACGAUACACCCAACCGCCCCCCCCCCCCCCACCGCGAUGCUACACAACCCAUACAUUAUAUGUAAUCAGUUUUGAGAAGCGCUGAUGUUCAUUAAAUAGUUUAUCAAUAUGUUUAUGCAUUCAUAUGAGGAAGCAAGUUUAAUGAAAAUGCCUUUAAAAUCGUUGUGUACGUUUUUAUGUAAAAUAUUUAGUGAGUAAGUGAAUCUCGGGGAGUAAAAAACAACUAUCUAAAUGAUUAUUGAUAAAUUAUAAAUUCGAUAAUAAGUCGAAUUAUUGUAAUUUAAACUCUAUGAUAGUUUUUGAAAAUAUCCUUGAUUUCGUUUUGAUCGAGUGAAUGAAUGAUAUUGCAAUUGUUUUGCAUUUAAAUAGACUUUUAGGGAAAUCUUUUAGACUAGUUUUAGAGUCACAUAUUAAUUGUAGAUAAGUAAUCGAUUCAAUGCUGUUUUUUAAGAGUUUGUCUUAGAUUAAUUUUAAAAUAUUUUCAUGGCCAAUAUAUCUAAUACUAAAUAUUUAAUUAGGACUCAGAUUUCAAUCGAAUACGAUUUGUUUUACGAGUAAUUCAUCUUUUUAUAAGAUUUUCUCCGUUCCGUUUCGGAUAUAGUUUCGUUCGAAUACAUUUCGAAGUUAUACUUGGCAAUGUAUAAGUAUUGUCAAUUAAUAAAGUUCAAAAAUGUCUUAAUCUUUUCAUAGAAUAAGGGAUGAAAUGAAAUGAAAUAAUAGAACACCAAAUAAUUGUAAUAAAAAGUAUAUAUAUACACACUGCCACCUAAACUGUAACGAUCGUUUGAAAAUGUAGAGUAGUUCUUGUUACAUAUAAUUUCGUAGCUUAGUGUAGGUAUGACUUAUUGUUUUAUCGACUUUGGAACAUUUUCAAUGAGACAAUGAACAUCAAAAUUCAAUGAUAUUUUGAAACUCUUCGUUUAAGGGAAGCCUAGCGAUGUAAAAGUUCGCAGGAUCGAUCCAUACCUUACUUUGGGCUAUUGUCGUCCCCAUUUCUAACACAAUUUUUAAGCUUAAUUGGAGAUUCCUUGUAAUGGGACAUUCCUAAUAUUAUUUAAUUAUUUUUUUUACUAAAUAAAUUACUGGCAUUGUGCUCACGCCUAUCGGGGCCUCAACAGACCACCAGACUGGAGGCCCUAGUCUCCUGCUUAUAACCUUGGCGAUAAGGGUUGAACUUUGUAUCGUCCAA